rnacentral:rRNA from 1 species
AGAACGAACGCUGGCGGCAUGCCUAAUACAUGCAAGUCGAACGAAGGCUUCGGCCUUAGUGGCGCACGGGUGCGUAACGCGUGGGAAUCUGCCCCUUGGUUCGGAAUAACAGUUGGAAACGACUGCUAAUACCGGAUGAUGACGAAAGUCCAAAGAUUUAUCGCCAAGGGAUGAGCCCGCGUAGGAUUAGCUAGUUGGUGAGGUAAAGGCUCACC